rnacentral:lncRNA from 1 species
UUGGAUCAGGGCUCGGCUCCAUCAGGGCUUGUUUUAACAGAGUCACACAGUGCUAUUUGGUCUUUGGACUCACAGAUGCCUGUGGAUCCUCCCUCAAGGAGCCCCGUACCUCUGUUCUUACCCCUCCCACAAAGUCAAUCGGGAAGGUUCUUCAGGAAUGCAGAACCCGUUACUGAGCAGAUUUUAAAAUGUUUUCCCUAGCUAGCAAAAGAAACUUGACUUGAUGAACCAGACAAUAUAUAUAUAUAUUUUUUUUUCCAUUUGCACAGGCUAGCCUCAAGCUCACAGUCCUCCCGUCUCAGCAUGCUUGGUGCUGAAGUGAGUAGCUUACGCCAUCAGGUUCAGCCCUGUUCUGCUUCGGCAAUCCUUUCCACCUCUUUCCUAAUCUCCUGCCGUUUUCCUUUACUCUCACUUGCACACUGAUGCUUGGUGGCUCUCACUACAGGGAGAGAUCUUCAAGGCCGAGUUCAGGAUCGAAUCAUCUUUACAGUCCCCAGAGAAGUCGUGGCGCGAUGCACUGUCUACAGUGAAAAACAAUCAAAUUGUACAACCCGAGAAGAAGAGCUGAUGGUGGCCGGGUUCCUAGAGAGAUGCGUUCAGAUGCAGUUUGUCAUGGACUCAGAAGUGCCACUAAAGGUGAGGGAAGAGUAUGACAGCCUUGUGACAGUCCCACUGAAUAAACGCUUUUAAAUCUAGUAACAGGGGAUUGGUGUAACUGUGCACUUGUCAUGGAAGACUGCCAAGAUGUCCAUCUGUCAGUGCCUUCUUGUUCUAAUGUGUGUAUGUGGGUGUGGCUAUGUGUAUGUGGGUGUGUGGGCAUACAGAUGUGUACAGAGCUCAGAGGACAAUUCAAGGGUCAUCCUGAGAGCACCACCCAGCUCCUUUAAGAACUCUUCUCUCUUUGUCUUGGAGCUCACAUUAGGCUAGGCUGGAAGGCUCCUCCAGGGAUACUCUUGUCUCUCCCUCCUUGGUGAUCACAGGAACACAGCACAGUGCUCUGCAUGGUAUAUGGGUGCUGGGGAUCGAACUUGGGUCCCUGUGGUUGCGAGGCCAGCACUUUACUGACUGAACCACCAUCCCCUAGCCCAUGUUGCCAGUGCCUUUUUAAUAUGUUUAUACAGCUCUCUCUCUCUCUCUCUCUCUCUCUCUCUCUCUCUCUCUCUCUCUCUCUCUAGUGGUAGGUGAUUAAUUUGGAGAGAUGAUAAAAUCUAGACAGAGAUUUCUCAGUCACAUUGAUGACAGUAAAGGCAUUAAGAAUACAAUUAUGGGCACCAGCUCUAUAACUCAGCCUAUUGCUAUGAAAAUAUGUCUGACUGCCAGUGACCAGCAAUUAUCUUCCUCCAUUUAAUCUAAAGCCACAUGGUAUUUUAAAAAUGAAACUCCUUUCAAAACUGCCUCUGCCUAUAAAUGUCAACGGGUGGGGCAGCUUUUCCUUCUGCACCACACAGUUCGACUUAUGCUGCGGUUCACGUUCACGUGCAUUCAAUGUUAAAGGACAAGGAAAUGCUCAUCCAAGGCACCUUGUCAACCCUGGCCAGCCCUGCGGUGACCUUCGGCUCAGAACCCGGGUUUGAGCCUUCAAGGGCAGCAAGAGCCUCAGUCAGCAGCUUUCCAGGUCCCAAGCUUGUCUAAGGAGAGGCAGAUUGAAAGCUCUCAGAAACCUGCCUUCUCAGAAACCUACCAUCCUCGGGAAGGGCUAAGCCAAGGAAAACAACACACCUGAACAAAAAAGCUCAUCUGUCACUUAACACUCGGUCCUUGUUUAAUUUUUACUCAGCCUAAGGCAGGUCUUGCUGGCCUGCUAUAGAUCUGUCUGGCCCUGAAGAAUGUCUCUGAAGUGCUGGGGUCACACGCUUGCACCACCCAACCUGGCUGGAUUCAGACUUUAAAAUAGGGGUGCACCGUAGGGGCAGUGGGGCUCCCGAUCUGGUUGUAAAAUGCUACAUGUUAAACAUCAAGAGAGCAAAUGAACGGGUUACAAAUGGUUUCUAGGACUGAAGAAGAAGAAACUACAAAUGCUAGCAGCAGCGAGAACCCCAACAAGGAGGAGGCGCGGGAUGCCGUCCUUAUUACAGUGAGCAAGGGUCCAUGGAGACCAGAGGAGGACACCAGCUGUCCUGGACCUGGAGUAACAGUUAGCUGUGUGUGGGUCUGCAAAGUAUCAUAGCAUGCAGGAGGAAAAAACCAACCAAACAAGCAAGCAAACAAUAACAACAACGAAAACCAAUCAAUCGGUUAAGCCUUGGAAGAGAGUGGGGUCAGAGAAAGCUGUGGGGUGGAAAACACUUCACGAGCUCUUGCUGGGGAAACAGAGGAACAUAAAGCUACAAGAUCAUGGGGAGAGCAGCAACAGCCAUGAGCAGAAUGGAGCCAGACUUAUGUCCCUGCAGAGACAAAGCAGGCCUCUGUUGUAAAUGUGUGACAGUCGCUGUGACUACCCAGAUUCAAAGCACUGGGGCAAUCAUGGCUCUUCAUCUGUUGAGAGUAAAGAAGGAUGCCUCUCAAGCCCAGAAGGAUGGCCUCCCAGACUGUCUGCAUGCCCUUGACCCGGAAGCCACGUGAGCCACUUCCCCAGGACACCAACCACGGGAAAGGUGAUGACUGUGUCUCCAGAAGUUACUCACCUAGAGCAGUGGUUCUCAACUUUCCUAAUGAUGCCACCCUUUAAUACAGUUCCUCACACGAUGGCGACCCCAACUAUAAAAUUAUUUUGUUGGGACUUCAUAACUGCAAUUUUAUUACUGUUAUGAAUUGUAAUGUAGAUAUCUGAUAUGCAACCCCCAAAAGGGGUUGAGACCACAGGCUGAGAACCAUUGCCCUAGGAAGCUCAGAAACAUUAGUCAACCAUUUUCUAGACUGGUGCCAACAUCUCUCUGAUGAAUACUCAAGUUGGACCUGGGCUCUGCCCAGCUACUCAAUCAUUUCCACUCUUGCCCACCCACAUCCUUCGCUUUUCCUAAUUUCCAAAAUGCCUUCCAGGCAAUGUAGAAGCAGCAGACAAACAACCUAACUGAACUACCCUGUGCUUUGUCUAGAAUAACCUACAGACUUCAUUGAUACCCCACGGCCUGGAAUUCUGGUCAGUCCACUGCUGGACAUUUAUAUCCAUCUGGGUCUGUGAGAUACACUCACUUAGAAGAUGCAAUGGUUAGUUACUGUUGCCAAUUCGAAUGGGUUUACUAUAUUCCCCAUGGAAACAUACACUCCUGUGUGCACCCACGAAGGUAUUUCUAGAAAGGGUCCUGUAAGGAGGGAAGACUCGCUGUAAAGGUGAGCCUCACUCGUCCAAUGACUAGAGAAAGGAGGGAAAGCCAGCUGAGUCCCAGCAUGCACCUCUGUUUCCUAACUGCACACGUGGUGCAAUCAGCCACCUGCCGCCAUGCCUAUCCCGCCGCCAUGCCUGUCCCUCCGGGAUGAACAAAUGCUUCCCUAAGCCUUCCCUAAGCUGCCAGGUGUUUCUCACAGCGAUGAGAAAAGAUACAUACAAUGUAGCAUCCGUGUGAGCGAUCUCUGCCUGUCCUUCAGUGCCUCUUCUGCAUCCCUAACUACACCCUCCUCCCCUUUGUCCUUUACAACCAGCUUUGUAGCUCUUCCCAAAUGCUCAUACUCAAAGGAGGAUUUCCCCUCCUCUAGGGAAUCGCCCCCUCUGGCUUCUAGACAUGGGAACUAGCCUCCCUUCCCCAGCUUUAAUUAACCAGUUUCUGGCAGUUCAAAAAUGUGUUUAUUCCAAGUAUGCAACGUAACCUUGGCGCAGGCAAACACACCAUUGAAAUGAUUAUUACGAUAGGCUAGAAUUUGAUUUCAAAAAUUCUUCUUGAUACACCCACCCUGUGAGCUACACGCUGUCUCUCAUCUGCCAUCAGUAUCCUGGGACAGUUGUUUUCCUUCCUUAUUGCCUCCAGCAGAAACACAAAGUAGGUAAAUAAAAUGUAAUUUUAAAACUGUCCUCA